GAUGAAGAACGUAGCGAAAUGCGAUAAGUAAAGUGAAUUGCAGAAUUCAGUGAAUCAUCGAAUCUUUGAACGCACAUUGCGCCCGUCAGUAUUCUGGCGGGCAUGCCUGUUCGAGCGUCAUUACGCCCCUCAAGUCCCCUGUGGACUUGGUGUUGGGGAUCGGCGAGGCUGGUUUUCCAGCACAGCCGUCCCUUAAAUUAAUUGGCGGUCUCGCCGUGGCCCUCCUCUGCGCAGUAGUAAAACACUCGCAACAGGAGCCCGGCGCGGUCCACUGCCGUAAAACCCCCCAACUUUUUAUAGUUGACCUCGAAUCAGGUAGGACUACCCGCUGAACUUAAGCAUAUCAAUAAGCGGAGGA
rnacentral:misc_RNA from 1 species